UACGAGUGCCCCAAGCGUUAUCCGGAAUCAUUGGGCGUAAAGGGUGUGUAGGUUGUUGUAUUAGUCUUCUGUCAAAAUCCGUGGCUCAACCCCGGACCUGCAGUAGAAACGGUACAACUAGAGGAUGCGAGAGGUGAAUGGAACUCAUGGAGUAGGGGUGAAAUCCGUUGAUAUCAUGGGGAACACCAAAGGCGAAGGCAAUUCGCUGGCGCAUUCCUGACACUGAAACACGAAAGCGUGGGUAGCGAACGGG
rnacentral:rRNA from 1 species